GAGCCCCACGCCGCCCUCCUCUCUCUCAUCUGAUGUAAACUACACGCGACCUCACAAGACAUGCCUCCGUCUUCCUAUCCCCCUAGUCUUCUUCCUCUCGUCCGUUGUGGCCGACUCCCGGACCUCAUCGCCAUCGCUGCGCCGCCUCCUAUCUCUGGCCUCCUCCACCACCAUGGUGUCCUCUACAUCAUCAUCCUCGCACCAGCAUCCGCCUCUGUGGCAGGGCACCGACGGGCGAGGCGAAGAGGUCGCACGCGUGGCCAUGGCGAGGCGGCGGGCGAGUGUCGAGACGUCAGCGAGAUUCUUGAGGCGGUUGAUUUCCCCUGUGUCCAGUAGAGGCCUCCUCUGCUCCCCCAUUCCCCGCGCUCCCUCCUCGACAGGGAGGCGCUGAAUCGAGGGUCCACAAGGAUGCCAUGACCUGAGCGCGUUGCAGCGCCGGUGAGUUCCCAAUCCCGGUAAUCUCGCAGGCCAGAUUGAAGCCCACCGAGGUUGCCCGUCGCCGCAGCCAAUCUCGUCCACUCCAGGGAGGUCGAGCCAGCAUCACCAUGCUUCAUGAUGAUGCGUCGGGAGCUCAAAUACAGUCACUUCUGCAGAAGCCAUGUCGAACUGACAUCAAGUUCGGGAAAGGAGUGGAUGAUCCAGGUGGACUAAAAACGCAGGACUCGUACUGCUACAAACAUGCAUGCUUAUCUCUUAUAGAAAUUUCGUCUGACUAUUAUUAAAAUCAUUUGUUUGGACUUCUUGGAUUCUCUGAUUUUUUUGGAGAAUCCAACAGUUUGUUCAGAAUCAUUCUAUUUUGUUCUUACCCUAGCCAAUCAUUGUAUGCCUUGGUAAUGUUUCAUGUGCUAAUCCUACAAUUAAAUGACACCCAACUUUCAGUUGGGUGGCACGCAGGUGAUAGCUUCACCAAAAUCGUAUAGACAUUCUUGAUCUUGUUUUGUUGUGUUUGGGUUGGCUGAAAAAGAGUGAGUUCCUGUUUCAAAUCAAACCACAAUUUAAUCUGGCUUUACAUUUGUUUCUAAUGAUGUUGUGUUCUUUAAUUGUUUAGGAAAUGCUCGAGUGAAAAAUACAUGUAUUGUGUUGUGUAACCAUCUUUAUAUUGUGGCUGGAUGCAUGGUACUUGACUGGGCAACUUGAGUGACUCUAGAAAAAGAACCUUGAGUGAGCAAGUAAUUUACACUUUCCCAGAUUACAUGCCUGUUGUGAUACUGACCUGGUUGCAUGGUUGAUUGUUCAUAAUUUCUUAUACAUGUUACCAUGCUUUGACAUUUUGUUUCCAUGCUCCGCUAGGUAAUACCAGUUAGGGGAAUGAACAAGCAUAUGUGUCGAAAGCUCAUGUACUGUUGUUACAAAUUUCCGGACAUUGACUGAAUUGGCCUAGAAGGAAGCUCGCGCCAAGACUUACUGCACCUAUAUCAUUGGUUCAGAUGCUGAAGAUCUGCGGAAGCAGGAACCGAGUGCCAUUCUUCCUGCUCAGGAGAAACAAACCAUCAUAAAAAUAGCUUUAGGGAAUGUAUAUGAACUUCGUAAUUAUUUGUUAUGGGAGGAUUUUCUCAUUAAAGGAUAUAUAUGUGAUAAACUACUGACACCUACUACCGCUGUUUUGGUAGUUCUAUGUUGCUAUCCAAUUGCAAUUUGACUUUCAUCGGGAAAAUUUCCAACUUUGGAAUUUUCUUGUUAUGUUUCCCACCUUCCAUGUCUCACUUGAUACGUAUACUACUGUGGUUUCUAAUGUAGUUGACAUGAGUAUUCCAGUUUAAAUACACUGCUUUGUGAACUUGGUUAACAUUUGUUUCUUUGAAUAUUUGUUUGUACUCUUUAGUUUUUCGCACAUUUGUAUUCUCUAGAUGGUAUCAUUUGUAGCUAUUAAUCAUGGAAACAUAAUUUGGAAAAUGACUUUGUCAUAUUAAACGAUGCAACUACCUUCUCCAUUCCUUAUAGUGGGAUAUUUGACUGCUCCUCCAGUAAACAAUGCCAUUGCACAACACAGUCACAAUUUGUUUUGAACCAUGAGAGAGAGGGGCUCCAUCAAGUUCAUCCUUGUACUGGACACUUGUUCCAGUUGCUAAUCCUAGAGUUACUGAUUUUCGUUUCCGCUCUUCCUACCACCUUGCUCUUUGAAUAUGGGGUUUUCCUUUUAAUCAUAUGUCAAUGGCUCUAACUAGCCUCCUUCACAAUCUCCUGGGAAUAUGGACAGAGGAAGAAAGCCUACCAGAAUAGCGGUUGCGAGCAUUCUUCAUCCGCUGAUCUAACACUGCCACCUGGUGCUGGCUUUUGCAUAGGUACCCUUCAUGAGGCAAGAUAUUGGUACGUAUUUUCCAGUUGCUGAAAUGAAUACAGAUAAUAUAUAUCUGCAAUGUUUACAAAUGGACUCUGACAGAGACAGACUGCUUAUAGGUGGGAUUCCAACUAAAAUGUCAAGCCAUAGGCCAUAGAUAUUCCCUACUUGCAUGUUCCAUGUAACACGCUUGCUUUUAUGUUCCUGAUCUAUUGUAUGAAAAACAGGCUUGGUAAAUAACUUGUGAAAUUGUAACCCUGGACAUCUGAAAUGGUACGACUGCAUGCAUGCUAUUAUAGCUGACUACAUCAAGCAUUUGUACACACGACUUGAUAAAAACAGUGCAUAACUAAUCUGCAUAAUCAUGACGUUGAGAUUGAUACACAAUUAAUAGCUUUCCAUGUGCUAAAGUAAAACAUGAUACCUUGACAUCUUGAGUCAGGUACACUGGGCAUCAAGGUGAACGAUUGGGUUGUCACUUUCCGGUGAGGAGGCGCUCCAAGGGGCGCCCCAACUACUAGUUCUCACAAAGUGCAUAGAAGCACGUGCUAAAGUUGACUGUUGUAUGCGAGCUCACUCCUUUUCUCUCUCCACCUCUCUCACCUCCAACUAGAUAAAAAUAUAUAAUUUUAAUUUUUAUAGCCAGCUGAUUAGGAUUUACAGCAUUGUACUUGGUCUAACCUUCUCCCAUCACUACACUUUAGCAAGCCAACAAGCUCCAAUAAAGCAGCCAAUUAUCUUUGUAGGGGGCAUUCCCAAGAAGGAUGCUGCUCCUAUAUUUUAUUCAACUCCAACGGCUCUCAUAGAUGUUAGAUGCUAUAUAGUAUAUACAUAUUUCACACACCUAUAUAUUUGCCAUCAUAGGUGCACCCUUGGACUGCCAGCAAUAUCAUUGUUAAUUUCUAACUACAUCCUUAGCAACGUAAAAUCGAUGAGAUCGCAAUAAACUCUAUAAAUAAUAAAAUAUUUACUUUAAACUCGUACAAAACCACGGAUGUUUUGAAGCUGUAGCUCGAGGGUCGAAUCUUUGGCACAUGUUACAAACAUGGAUUGUUCCCUAGCUCGUCCUUUUUAUCCGCAUAAGAGUAAUUGGAGUUUGGAUAUGCUCAGCUGCGCUACACAAGAUAAAUAAUAAUAUUUCCUAAAUCCAUAGUACCCGUCAUGACCUUUGAAGUUGGCGAAGUAUGAGAACAAGUUUUAGAAAUAUUGAAGAAAAAUGUUUAACAUUUUAAGGAAGGAGCAUUAGACAUUGCAUGUUGUGCAACAUUACGUACUCACACACUCUCGUGAAGGGACCUCAUACCUACCUAUUAUUAUACUAUAUUAUAAUCUAUAUAAAAGUUGAUCAAAGUACCGCAUCCCAUAUCAAUCUGGCCACUGUAGAUAGGCUAUUUAUCCUCUCAUCUCUCCAGUAAUAGCACGACGUGUGGCUUUCUCCUUUAUGGUUUGCUCAAUUUUUUCCGUUGGAUUUUUUACAGUGCUGAUUUUGUGGACUGGGAGGUUACCGGCUACCGGUUGGUAGGCUAUUCCGUCUGUAUCAUCUGUCCCGGUAGCCCUCCCACCUUCCAUUCGCUUAUGUAUUUGGUUUGGCUUAGUCAAAGCGGUGGUACACCUCACCAUGGAAAUAGGGAUGGCACCCACAGGGUAUGGAUGCGGGUGGAGCCACCCCAUACCUGUACCAUCGCCUUUAAUCUCACCCGUCACCCAUACCCAUACCCGUCGACGGGUACAACUUUUUCCCAUACCCGUCACCCGGGAGGGUAAAUGGGUACCCGCGGGUAAAAAAUACCCAAGUUUAAAGCACAUUAAAUUGUUCACAAAAUACUCGUCGACCAAAAAAUAUAUAAGCAUAAUUUAUAAACAGCGUCACAUAGUAAUCACAUUAAGUUCACAAACUCACAAAAUAUAGAGGUAAUUUGACUUUACAUAAGGCCACAAAUAAGCAUUACUGUGUACUCUAUCAUUACUCUAAUGAGCAUUAUAACCUAGUAUUGAAUUAUAACCUAGUACUGAAUUAUACAAUUAGUCCCGUAUAACCUAGUACUGAAUUAUACAAUCAGUCUAUGUAUGACUAAGCGUGGAACUGACUACUGAUCAAUCAGGCAAAUCAACACAUUGGCAAACUUUUUUUUUAUCUCACCCACACAUGCAGCAAGUAUAUUCAGGUGACGGAGAUGGAGAGCACCAUCAGGCGACGGGGUCGGAGAUGGAUUUGGGGUCGGAGUGCCAUGCUCCUGGCCAUGGUGGUCACCGUCCUCCGGCUCAAUCGUCGCGAUCUGAACUGCAUCUCUUGAUUCGCGCUGUCGAUAGCAUCCAUGGCGUCAUCGCGUGCAAGUCUACAAGGCCAAAUAGACGAUAGUCAGUAUCGGAGGAGGAGGCCAAGCUGGAGGGGGCGGUGGUCUGAGCGGCCAAACCUCGACUAGAGGCACCGGCGGCCUCGCGCUGACCCUGGGGGCGGCUUAGCGUGACUCGUUUCCAGGAGAGCUGGAGAGGAGAUCGAUCUAGACGUGAUACACUGAUAUGUACGUGAAUAUGAUCAGCCUUAGAGCAUAGUCCAUGCGGUAAUCAUGGAAGAGGAGGUCAAACAAUAAUUGCCUGAGAUCAUGCAUGGAAGAGUUAUUAGUGGGAUUCGUUUUUUGGUUUUUUUGGUACGUUAGGAUACUAUUACCAUUAUAUGAAAUCCACAUGUCAGCAUGUUGGACGGGUAUGUGGGUACACGGGUACGGGUUGUACCAUCCCGUACCCAUACCUAGUCUACCCUAUGGGUAUGGGUACCCAUUGGAAAUAUCUAGCAGAUUAGAUUCGUGAUUGUUCCGAUGAAUUCGAGAGCAUCUCCAUCCAAAGCGGCCGUCACCAACGCAGCGCCGCACCGAACGAGGCCUCACCCAUCUUCUUCUCCUCUUGGCCCGUGUGGUGCCUCUUCCAGAUACGAUCUUGCCCGUAUAAUUUCUCUACAAAAUCUGUUUGGAGGAGCUACGAGGGCGACCUCCUCCUUCCGAAACUGCUGCCUACCGGCUACCGUGGUAUCUUCCCCGCCCCAAAUCGCCCCACACCAUGACUUCACCAAGCCGAGCUCCUCCUUGACGGCGGCCAUGGCCGUGGUCGGUUCAUCCCCUUCCUCUCUGUCUUGGUCGUCCUCGAGGUGGCCAGGUCGUCCAUCCCUGCUGCAGUUCCUCGCGGUAGCUGGUUGACCACGUCAACCUCUCCUGCGUGAUCUUCGGCAGGUGCAGCGCCAGCGCAAAUCUCGCGCACGGCAGAUGGCAUCGCGGCAAUCCAGAGGUUCAUGAACCUUACCUGGAGGUUCAUCUUCCUAGCCUCGCUGGGCGGGAUGACCCGCUCGUGGAUCUGUUCGGCAAAGAAGAUGCACUUUGCUCUGGCCAAAAUCCUGUGCGCCGGGUGCUGCCGUGUGGAGCAGAGUCACGCCUUCAGAUGCCAAUCCCCAUAUCCAACUCUUCCCAGUGCUAUGUCUCCUCUUGCUGUUCGUCAGCAAGAUCGAUGAGGGAUUCGAGGGAUCUUCUGCAUGCCGAUGAAGCAUGCCGAUCUUGGACGGCGACGACCUGCGACUGAUGACAAGAAGCAGUUGGGUCGUUCUCGGCGCCACCGUGCGGUGCGGACGCGAUUACAUGUCACUGCUAUAUUUCAGGUUCUCUGCUCUUCUUCAUGAUUGAUGUAUUACUAGGUCUUUUGGAAGAUUGAAGGGAACAUGGAGUUGCUCUUAUGGUUAGGGAAAGUGGGACAUACAGCUGUCGCUACUAAAUGACGUAUCGCCUCGACGAUUCCAAUGGAAGAUCUUCGUGCGUAUUUCUUGGAUCUGGGAAUUCAACGAUCAGCAAACAAGACAGAAUGUACAUGAACUAUACUACAUUGUUGUACACCAUGAGGUAUUCUUUCAUGAUCUUGGGCGCUAAAUCUGUCUUGGUUUGAUUACCAAUCGGUAAAUAUAUUGUACUAUCUUACUUUAUGUCCAUUCUCUUUUGUGCUGAUUUUUUUUUUACUCCUGAUAAUCUAAGGAAGUCGAAGUUGUAGACACUGAUCACUAAUAUUUUUACACCUGUAAUUUCCCUUCAGUAUGAAUAGCUAUUGGCAUAGCACUACUUCUAAACCUAUGUUUGUUACUUUGUAUAAUUGAUUUUUAUCUCACUGAUAUCAUUAAUGAAUAUUUUUCACAAAUACUAAUCCAUCAAUAUACCCAACUUCCCGAGCCAUAUUUUGCAUAAAGUUCAUAUUAAUCAGCAUGAAUAAGGUACCCACAUGUUCGUACUUCCUCUGCAGCCCCCCUUUUUUCCUUUCGGACACAGUUAAUACUAAAAUUUUGUUUACAUCGUAAAGAAUCUCAACAGAGUGGCGCAUACCAGCCAACCGUAUAGAGCUAGAUUUGUCAUGCCUUUAAGAUUUUUUCCCUCGGACACAUUGGGAUGAAACAAUUGAAUUGCAUCUGAUCAUGUAUAUCUUUUUUGGAUUAUAUAUAAUGUAAUCUUCAAACUGCUGAUGAGAUCUGUCUUUUCCCUCUUUGGUGUGUGUGUGUGUGUGUGCGAAUGGCCAAUAGAGAUAUGUAACUCUGUGCAUGGACAGUAUGAAAUCCUACAGUUAAUGUAUUUUAUUAUCCUUAAGUAAAUAAUCCAACCUUUGUGUUCAGCAUGCUGCAUUUCUGUUGCAAAACAAUGAAGUCUAUCAUGUGGUGUGGAGACGGGUAUAUGAGCCUAAUCUAGGAUCAGCAUAUAGAGCUAAAAAGAUGUACAGUACAGGACCAGCAGGCCGAUCAUGGUUCCUGCUAACAAAGUCCGGGCCAUAGAUACCAUCCUACACAUGAGAACUAGAAGCUUGCAUCAGAUUCCAAAGACUAUAUGUUAUCGUCCUUUGUGUGUUUCUUUCCCUUCAUUUCCCGCGAAUUACAGUAAACUGCAGGUUUCGUGCAGAAUUAAGGGCAGGUUAAAUUAAUAGUGGCCAUUGUACAAUUACUGUUUUUUUUUCUUUCCAUGGUUCGCUUUGUACUGUGGCUAUCAAGUGUCCUGACCCUUUUUGUGCUCCGCUUUUUCUGUCGGGUAUAUUAGGAUGGCUGGCCUUCAAGUGCAGGUGCAAAUGUUACCAGUAUGGUGCGAGUGUUUGUUCUCUUGGCCUCUUGCGAUAUUUGGUGGAUGCAUACUCUGUACUUGAUUGGUUAAAGUUUUCUUUGUUUGAUAUUUUGUUCCAGGAUGCACUCUCUCAUGAAGGAAUCAAAUUUCAUAUGCUCAUGAAGAAAGUCUAGGCGCUUUCUUCUGAAGUGGUAUUGCUUAUCUGAAAUGUUGCAUUCCCAGAUCGAGCAAUUGCAGGAUCAGGGCCAUAUUCAGGUUCUUAACUGAAGCCUCCUGCGGCUGAUGGUCCCAGAUCCUCAAGCCUCAACACUUGGACUAUCUGUAAGAGAUGGUGUAUUCCCAGGCACGGUGGACUCAGUAUGGAUAAAAUACUUACACUCUACUUCAUGUACUCUUCUAUCUGAUGUGCUGACAACUACCUGUUUUAGUUCUAAUCUUUGUGAUGUGUGCGUGUGUAUGUCCCUGCAUUAAAUAAGUAUAUUGUAAGUUGCGCUUAACUAGCCUACUGCCUUCACAGUAUUUGUUCUUCAGUUUUCAGUUACCAAUCGACCACUGAUGGGUAAUUUCACUGAAAUGAACGAACUGAAAGUGUUUAGGGUGGAAAAACUAUUUUCUUCU